CGUGCAGGCGGUUCGAGCAGUCGGACGUGAAAGCUCCCGGCCCAACUGGGAGAGGCCGUUCGAAACUAGCGAACUAGAGGAUGGUAGAGGCAAGUGGAAUUCCCGGUGUAGUGGUGAAAUGCGUAGAUAUCGGGAGGAACACCAGCGGCGAAAGCGGCUUGCUGGGCCAGCCCUGACGCUCAGACGCGAAAGCCAGGGGAGAGAACG
rnacentral:rRNA from 1 species